rnacentral:rRNA from 1 species
CUUUUACAAUGAAGAGUUUGAUCCUGGCUCAGGAUGAACGCUAGCUACAGGCUUAACACAUGCAAGUCGAGGGGCAGCAGGAUCUAGCAAUAGAUUGCUGGCGACCGGCGCACGGGUGAGUAACACGUAUCCAACCUGCCGAUAACUCGGG